CGGGCACAGCGGGGGGGGGGGGGGCACUCCACUGAUGGGCACAAGUCCCGACCUCCCCAUCCUCUCUCUCCCAGCCAUUCCUCUUUUCUUAUGCUCUCAUAUCUGACGCAGGACAAUAGCUCGAGGUGGGGGCGAGGCGGAUCCAUUGGCGCGACGAGGCGUGAGGCGCGUGCUAUGAUGGGCGCGGCAGAUCCAAGGUGCCCAGCUGCAUGGACCAUGAGGCCAUCCAAGGGCGAGUCGUGCUUCGACUGUGAGACGGCCGAGUUCCUACCUGUGCUGUUCCAGCCGCCGCGGGAUGGGUCCCCACCAUCUGUGGGCAUUCAAAGUGCAGUCGGCCACCUGAGCGCCACUCGUGAUGGCUUCUUGCUGCAUGCCGGCCGGACUCUAUCUUGCACUCUACCAAUUCAAGUUAGGAACGGAUAGAAUGGGAGAUAGUUUAACCCGGCUUGAUUGCCUAGUUAGAGUAAUUUGCAUGUUUUUUUUCCUUCCAUUUGCAUGCAAUUUCCAUCUUGAACUUAGCUUAAGUCGAAGCACAAUCGACCCCUAUUGUGUAAGAUGUUUGGGCUGUAUUAGCUUGAGUACCUGCCGGUUGUGUGAUCAUGAUGUUGAGUGUUGUAAGCUCUUGUACGAGUAACAUUAGCAUCACCAGGUU